rnacentral:rRNA from 1 species
AUGAACGCUGGCGCCGUGCCUAAUACAUGCAAGUCGAGCGAACAGACGAGGAGCUUGCUCCUCUGACGUUAGCGGCGGACGGGUGAGUAACACGUGGAUAACCUACCUAUAAGACUGGGAUAACUUCGGGAAACCGGAGCUAAUACCGGAUAAUAUAUUUAACCGCAUGGUUCAAUAGUGAAAGACGGUUUUGCUGUCACUUAUAGAUGGAUCCGCGCCGCAUUAGCUAGUUGGUAAGGUAACGGCUUACCAAGGCAACGAUGCGUAGCCGACCUGAGAGGGUAAUCGGCCACACUGGAACUGAGACACGGUCCAGACUCCAACGGGAGGCAGCAGUAGGGAAUCUUCCACAAUGGGCGAAAGCCUGACGGAGCAACGCCGCGUGAGUGAUGAAGGUCUUCGUAUCGUAAAACUCUGUUAUUAGGGAAGAACAAAUGUGUAAGUAACUAUGCACGUCUUGACGGUACCUAAUCAGAAAGCCACGGCUAACUACGUG